GAUGAACGCUGGCGGCGUGCCUAAUACAUGCAAGUCGAGCGAACGGACGAGACGCUUGCUUCUCUGAUGUUAGCGGCGGGCGGGUGAGUAACACGUGGAUCACCUACCUAUAAGACUGGGAUAACUUCGGGAAACCGGAGCUAAUACCGGAUAAUAUUUUGAACCGCAUGGUUCAAAGGUGAAAGACGGUCUUGCUGUCACUUCUCGAUGGUUCCGCGCUGCAUUAGCUAGUUGGUAAGGUAACGGCUUACCAAGGCAACGAUGCCUAGCCGAACUGAGAGGGUGAUCGGCCACACUGGAGCUGAGACACGGUCCAGACUCCUACGGGAGGCAGCAGUAGGGAAUCUGCCGCAAUGGGCGAAAGCCUGACAGAGCAACGCCGCGUGAGUGAUGAAGGUCUUCGGAUCGUAAAACUCUGUUAUUAGUGAAGAACAGAUGUGUAAGUAACUGUGCACAUCUUGACGGUACCUAAUCAGAAAGCCACGGCUAACUACGUG
rnacentral:rRNA from 1 species